UACGUAGGGUCCGAGCGUUGUCCGGAAUUAUUGGGCGUAAAGAGCUCGUAGGCGGUUUGUCACGUCUGCUGUGAAAACUGGAGGCUCAACCUCCAGCCUGCAGUGGGUACGGGCAGACUAGAGUGCGGUAGGGGAGAAUGGAAUUCCUGGUGUAGCGGUGGAAUGCGCAGAUAUCAGGAGGAACACCGGUGGCGAAGGCGGCAUCCUGGACCGGCAUUGACGCUGAGGCGCGAAAGCUAGGGGAGCAAACGGG
rnacentral:rRNA from 1 species